UUAGCAUGGCCAUUUCAGGACAACCCACACCUGAAGGGCCACGAGCAGCUGCUUCUCUUCCCUGACUUGGGAAACUCCAGAGGCAGAGGUGCUGGGCUGCCUUUCUGAGGCCGACAGUGUAACAGCCGCUGCCUGUCCUUGAUUCUCCUUUCUGUGCCUUCUCCAAAAGCCCUGCCGUGUCUUUCCAUGGACUUAGUGGCUGAGAGCUCAGAUGACCACUGGCCUGUAUCAGUUCCAGUGGCAACUUUCCCAGUGUGGUGGUAAAGGCUCCUCUCCACCUCAAGGGUUACCUGCAGCACAGGCUGGUUCUGAAGUGCCUAAGUAGCUGGGACAGACCUUUGUGCAGAGCUCUUGGAUCCACUCAUAGAAAUUUAGCAAGUACUUGUCACUGGGUUCAAGGAAGUAGGCUCAGAUAAGAAUAUUCACAUUUGGGCUGAUGCAAAGCUCAAGGUGAUGGUGGUUAAAGGAGGUAGGACGUGGUUACCCUGGAGGAAGGUCUACUGCGGGAAGGAGCCACAGACACCUCAGAGGCCUCCAGAGCUGAGCCUGGAGUAAGCUCCGCACUCGGCGGGCGCCACGUCCCCAGCCCCGCCCACGCGAGCUCGCGGGGAACCCCGGUGACGUCACCACCCGCAGCGCCCUCCUUCCCGCGCUCUCCCGAAAGGACGCGAAGGUGGUGACGUGUCCGGAGCGCCAGCGCGGCUGCGCACAAGGCGCGUGACCAACCUGUGGCGCCGCCUGGCGAAAGAACAGCGGCGGUGUGGCUGGAAGCGACGUGCGGCGGCGGCGUGGUGACGUCAUCCCUCGGGGCCACGUGACCGCGUGCUGCUUUGGCCUCCCCCUCUACCGGUGUGGGGGAAAACGUGGCUUCAAUCCUUGCUUUACUUGGUCUCCUGAAACAGCUUGGCAGCUUGGUCGCGCGGCGGGUCAUGCGAAGUUUGAGGACCAAGAAACAUAAAAGACAGAGACUGCAUACUCAUCCUCUGCCUCUGUCAUUAACCGAAAUCGUGUCUCAGGACGGGACAGGAAGCACCAUCUUCAGCAACCUGAGCAGAUAGCACGUGAUGCUCUGUGUCAUUAUGCAGACGAGGUGUUUACGAACUGGUCCAUUUGUAGAGUAUCCCGAGUCAUUCAGGAGCUCAGUCCAGACCGCAGCCAUAGCUGCCGGACCCACACCAAGCAGUAGAGGGGAAGGCAGGAAGGAAGUCACACACCCUUUUGGGAACCAACCUUGUUAUUUGAAAUGCAGUUUUCCGCACAGCACUUCAUACAGUGUGAGGGUGCUUCCUAGAAAUGCAGGUCUUGGACCUUGCCUUAAAGCUUAAAAUUCAGAUAUACAGUUUCCUUGAUACAGGGUCUCACCUUGGCAGACCUGGUUCUACGUAGACAACGUUGCCCUUGAAGGUGUGCACCAUAGUGACCAGCUAGAAUAUGCAUUUCAACAAGAUCCCAGAGUGAGUCCUAUAAGUACUGGUUUGAUGGAUUAUUGUGCAUCAAGCCCUACCAUGAAAUAACUGUAGUAUCAGAGUCACCGGCGAAUGAAUGGACAGUUGGACAGAACUGUCCCCAGGGCUUGUAAGGCCUGGCCACACCCUAUUUCCACAUGGUGCUUGUUCAGCCUUUACUGUAAACACAAGGCAUUCCUUCCUUUUUUUUUCUGUCCAAGCAGGUUGCAGCUGGGUGUUUCCGUCAUUUGCAAUUAAAACAGAGUUAACAGUUAUAAGACAUUGCUAUCAAGGGGCUAGAGAGAUAGAUGGUUCAGCAGUUAGACUCCUAACUGCUCUUCCAGGGGACCUGGGUUCCCAGCACCUACAUGAUGGCUCACAAUCACCCCUAACUCCAGUUGCAGGUGCUCCAACAACCUUUCCUGAUUUCCCAAGGCACCCAUGUGUUCAUACAUACAUGUAGGCAAAGCGUGAGAAAAAAAAACAUAUCAAACCAAUAUAUUUCAAGUUGAAACAAUAUAUACAUAGAAGUAAACGAAACAUAAUUUUAGUACUGUGUAGAACUCAAUCUGUAGCCCCAGCGAGACUUCAGGAAGAGAAAUGCCUAUAACCCAGGGAAAGAUGAAGACUCAAUGAGAAAACCCACUGGUACAGUGUAAAGGGAAGUGAUGGCAGGUGUGUAGGAAAUGCUUCCUCCUCUCCUAGGAGGCAAAUCUUCACUUCCUUCACCAUCUCCAGUCUGGGAUGAGUGAACCUAGAACUAGGUUUUGAAUUUUACUAGCUGCUUUUUU
ensembl:antisense